UACGGGGGGGGCAAGCGUUGUUCGGAAUUACUGGGCGUAAAGGGCGCGUAGGCGGCCUGCUAAGUCGGACGUGAAAUCCCUCGGCUCAACCGGGGAACUGCGUCCGAUACUGGUGGGCUCGAAUCCGGGAGAGGGAUGUGGAAUUCCAGGUGUAGCGGUGAAAUGCGCAGAUAUCAGGAGGAACACCGAUGGCGAAGGCAGGUCUCUGGGCAUUAACUGACGCUGAGGAGCGAAAGCAUGGGGAGCGAACAGG
rnacentral:rRNA from 1 species